GCUGGCAUAGCUCAGUUGGUAGAGCAGCUGACUUGUAAUCAGCAGGUCGGGGGUUCAAGUCCCUCUGCCAGCUC
rnacentral:tRNA from 1 species